rnacentral:snoRNA from 1 species
UCCAGCAAUAGUCAGCCAUCCGGCCUGACCUGUUGCCGUGAUGGUGUUACACUGCUGGGAGAGCAUUGUCUUGUCUUCUUCCUCUGGUGGCCUGCGUUGCUGUUUUGGUGACCUGGGGCACUGGUGCAAGGCGUGACUGUGCUUCCUUGAGAGUGUGCUAAGCAUUCUCUUUGGCUGCUUGGUGCUAGUCUGGAAGCAAACAGU